UACGUAGGGGGCGAGCGUUAAUCGGAAUUACUGGGCGUAAAGCGUGCGCAGGCGGUUAUGUAAGGCAGAUGUGAAAUGCCCGGGCUUAACCUGGGAACUGCAUUUGUGACUGCAUGGCUAGAGUUUGGCAGAGGGGGGUAGAAUUCCACGUGUAGCAGUGAAAUGCGUAGAUAUGUGGAGGAACACCGAUGGCGAAGGCAGCCCCCUGGGUCAAGACUGACGCUCAUGCACGAAAGCGUGGGGAGCAAACAGG
rnacentral:rRNA from 1 species